rnacentral:lncRNA from 1 species
UUUUUCAAGUGAGUGUGGAAAUACAGAUUUUUAGGUAAAAUGUUCUUAUUUUAAAUGGAAGCUUAUUUUUUUUUAAAGGCACCUUUUUGGGCAAAUGAAACACAUUUGCAGAGUAAAUUAGGCCUUUGGGCUGCCAAUUUACAACCUCAGACCUGGAAAAUUAAGUCCAGGUUCUUAGCAUGGAGUCAAAAACCUUUCAGGAUGGGCUACAAACCUCAUUAAAAACAAAAAUUAGAACAACACCAAUUACUACCACUACCACUAACAGUGGUGUUACUGCAGGUUACUUCAGCUACUUCUAAGUAGUAAUAAUUCAGAAAUAGUAGUGGCAGCGGCAGUGGUAAUUGAAGAUAUAUAAAGGAUGUCAAUGGUUUGGGCCAAACGAGAAAGCCAGUGGGAGUUAGAGAUGAUUCUGUUGGGAGGUAACUUGGUUAUCUCAACAAAGGACUCAGGGAUUCUUCUAAUGUAAUCAUCCCUGGCUAACACAGUGAAAUUCUGUCUCUACUAAAAAUACAAAAAAUUAGCCUGGCGUGGUGGCGGGCGCCUGUAGUCACAGCUACUCGGGAGGCUGAGGCAGGAGAAUGGAGUGAACCUGGGAGGCGGAGAUUGCAGGGAGCCGAGAUCAUGCCAGUGCACUCCAGCCUGGGUGACAGAGCGAGACUCCGUCUCAAAAAAAAAAAAAAAAAAAAAAGACUAUGCUUCCUAUUAAUUAGUCAUUUACCAUGUGCCAGGUACUGUGACAGCCGCUUCCACAUUAAUUUUUCAUGUAAUUUUCAUGAAAUCUCAAAAGGUAGAUAUUAUCACCAUUUUGGAGAAGUAUAAUAAAAACAGGAACAGAGAUGUAAAGUGACUUGCCCAAGGUCACACAGCUAGUUAAGCAUCAGAGAGGGGAUUUGAACCCAAGAGGGAGCCACUGUCUGACUUUGAAACCCAUAUUUUGUCCCUGCCUGCAUCUUACAGGUUUUAUCUCCCUCUUGGUGCUCUUACCUCCUUCUCUUCUUCCGAGUGGAUUUCUUCUUUUUCUUCUUUCCCCUGGAGGAAGGUGGUGGUGUCAAGUCUUUGUCAUGAGAGGCACUGUGAGGAGCAAAGAGAGGAGCAUUAGAUAACUCAUGGUUCCCCAACUCCCCAACCAGAGCUGGUGCAGCCAGGGAAGGACCCAGGUCCUUGGAUGAUCAAGGACCUAUAGCCAGUGCCUCAUUACCACCUCAUGGCUGAUUGGGUCACACUUCAGACUAAGUACCUAAAUAAGGACUUAAUGCCGAGUUAAUGAGACAGACGUUGUACGUUACCCAAACACCAACUGAUUAUUAAAAACAGAGUUAUAGAGGUUAACUACUCCUAAAUAGAUUUAUUAUUG